GUUUCUCUAGGGCUCGGCUCUCGGUUCCCCUGGCUGUGAGAAGCAGGCGUGCUGCUGGCCUGGCUCCCGGCGACUCCAGGUGUAUGACUGCAGUGUUCCUGCCCGGACAGCGCCCUGCUUGUGCGUUAGGCUGGAUGCUCAGCAGGAAGCCAGCCCAGUGCUGUGUGUGUAUCGGUCAUCGCUGCAGACUCGGAGCCAGAUCACCAGCUGCAAUACCUGGAAAGAGAAAAGCUGUUUCUCCUCAAGGUGAACCUCCAGAGCAGAGCACAGCUGUAUAGUCUGAGAAGAGGCACGAGGAGGGACAGGAGAGUAUCAUUCAGCCUGGCAACAGCGUUUUUUCCUGCUUGAUUCUUCCUUUGAUUCUGGGAAACGUCAGUUGGCGCUCUCAUUCACCCACAAACAGGGCACCAUAAUGACAGAGUAAGGACUUAAAUACUCUGCUAAUAUUGUCAAGGUUUUAAGACUAAAGACAACAAAUAAUACUGUA